rnacentral:pre_miRNA from 15 species
GUAGAGGAGAUGGCGCAGGGGACACGGGCGGAGACUGGGGCUGGCUGGGGUCCUCCAACAUGUGUCCUCUUCUCCCUCCUCCCAG